GAUGAACGCUAGCGGCAGGCUUAAUACAUGCAAGUCGAGGGGCAGCAUGAAUGUAGCAAUACAUUUGAUGGCGACCGGCAAACGGGUGCGGAACACGUACACAACCUUCCUAUAAGUGGGGAAUAGCCCAGAGAAAUUUGGAUUAAUACCCCGUAACAUAAUGAUGUGGCAUCACAUUAUUAUUAUAGCUUCGGCGCUUAUUGAUGGGUGUGCGGCUGAUUAGAUAGUUGGCGGGGUAACGGCCCACCAAGUCUACGAUCAGUAGCUGAUGUGAGAGCAUGAUCAGCCACACGGGCACUGAGACACGGGCCCGACUCCUACGGGAGGCAGCAGUAAGGAAUAUUGGUCAAUGGACGCAAGUCUGAACCAGCCAUGCCGCGUGAAGGAUUAAGGUCCUCUGGAUUGUAAACUUCUUUUAUCUGGGACGAAAAAAGGCUAUUCUUAGUCACUUGACGGUACCAGAUGAAUAAGCACCGGCUAACUUCGUGCCAGCAGCCGCCGUAAAAC
rnacentral:rRNA from 1 species